rnacentral:rRNA from 1 species
CCUACGGGUGGCUGCAGUGAGGAAUAUUGCGCAAUGGAGGCAACUCUGACGCAGCCAUGCCGCGUGCAGGAAGAAGGCGCUACGCGUUGUAAACUGCUUUUAACCGGGAAGAAACCCCAGGACGUGUCCUGGGUUGACGGUACCGGAGGAAUAAGCACCGGCUAACUUCGUGCCAGCAGCCGCGGUAAUACGAAGGGUGCAGGCGUUAUCCGGAUUCAUUGGGUUUAAGGGGUGGGGUUAUGGGAGUGGUGAAAGCCUACAGCUCAACUGUAGAAUUGCCAUUGAUACUGGCGCGCUUGAGUGCGCUUGAAGUAGGCGGAAUGUGCCGUGUAGCGGUGAAAUGCUUAGAUAUGGCACAGAACACCAAUUGCGAAGGCAGCUUACUAAGGCGAUACUGACACUGAGGCACGAAAGCGUGGGGAUCGAACAGGAUUAGAUACCCCUGUAGUC